rnacentral:rRNA from 1 species
AUUGAACGCUGGCGGAAUGCUUUACACAUGCAAGUCGAACGGCAGCACGGGGGCAACCCUGGUGGCGAGUGGCGAACGGGUGAGUAAUACAUCGGAACGUGCCCAAUCGUGGGGGAUAACGUAGCGAAAGCUACGCUAAUACCGCAUACGAUCUACGGAUGAAAGCGGGGGAUCGCAAGACCUCGCGCGAAUGGAGCGGCCGAUGGCAGAUUAGGUAGUUGGUGGGGUAAAGGCUCACCAAGCCAACGAUCUGUAGCUGGUCUGAGAGGACGACCAGCCACACUGGGACUGAGACACGGCCCAGACUCCUACGGGAGGCAGCAGUGGGGAAUUUUGGGACAAUGGGGGCAACCCUGAUCCAGCCAUGCCGCGUGAGUGAAGAAGGCCU